GACGAACGCUGGCGGCGUGCUUAACACAUGCAAGUCGAACGGAAAGGCCCUGCUUUUGUGGGGUGCUCGAGUGGCGAACGGGUGAGUAACACGUGAGUAACCUGCCCUUGACUUUGGGAUAACUUCAGGAAACUGGGGCUAAUACCGGAUAGGAGCUCCUGCUGCAUGGUGGGGGUUGGAAAGUUUCGGCGGUUGGGUAUGGACUCGCGGCUUAUCAGCUUGUUGGUGGGGUAGUGGCUUACCAAGGCUUUGACGGGUAGCCGAACUGAGAGGGUGAUCGGCGACACUAGAACUGAAACACGGUCCAGACGACUACGGGAGGCAGCAGUAGGGAACCUUCCGCAAUGGGCGAAAGCCUGACGGAGCAACGCCGCGUGAGUGAUGAAGGUCUUCGGUUCGUAAAACUCUGUUAUUAGGGAAGAACAAAUGUGUAAGUAACUAUGCACGUCUUGACGGUACCUAGUCAGAAAGCCACGGCUAACUACGUG
rnacentral:rRNA from 1 species